rnacentral:rRNA from 1 species
CAGCGGCCCUAGUGGUGAUCGUUAUUAUUGGGCCUAAAGCGUCCGUAGCCGGUUCGGUAAAUCUCUGGGUAAAUCGUUGGGCUUAACUCUACGAAUUCUGGGGAGACUGCCGAACUUGGGACCGGGAGAGGUCGGAGGUACUCCAGGGGUAGGGGUGAAAUCCUGUAAUCCUUGGGGGACAACCGGUGGCGAAAGCGUCCGACCAGAACGGGUCCGACGGUAAGGGACGAAGCCCUGGGGCGCGAACCGGAUUAGAGACCCGAGUAGUC